rnacentral:rRNA from 1 species
GACGAACGCUGGCGGCGUGCCUAAUACAUGCAAGUAGAACGCUGAAGAGAGGAGCUUGCUCUUCUUGGAUGAGUUGCGAACGGGUGAGUAACGCGUAGGUAACCCGCCUUGUAGCGGGGGAUAACUAUUGGAAACGAUAGCUAAUACCGCAUAACAAUGGAUGACACAUGUCAUUUAUUUGAAAGGGGCAAUUGCUCCACUACAAGAUGGACCUGCGUUGUAUUAGCUAGUAGGUGAGGUAAUGGCUCACCUAGGCGACGAUACAUAGCCGACCUGAGAGGGUGAUCGGCCACACUGGGACUGAGACACGGCCCAGACUCCUACGGGAGGCAGCAGUAGGGAAUCUUCGGCAAUGGGGGCAACCCUGACCGAGCAACGCCGCGUGAGUGAAGAAGGUUGUCGGAUCGUAAAGCUCUGUUGUAAGUCAAGAACGGGUGUGAGAGUGGAAAGUUCACACUGUGACGGUAGCUGACCAGAAAGGGACGGCUAACUACGUG